CGCUCUACAUCUACGGAAUCUGGAACGAAGCUUUCUAAGCGGCCAACAAAAUUGUUGCAGUUGGACUUUAAAGAGCUUGGCAGUUGAAGUUGUGUACCACAGUUUAACCUGUCUGAAACCAUACAAAACAAGCAGGCACCAAUAAAAGCACACACGAGGUAAAACUAAACGAGGUUUCAAACAUUGCAUUUCUUGGAAUGUGAAGUUCAGAACUGACUACCUUAGUAGGAAAUAAAAUCAAUAAAUCAAACAAAUAAAAGCAAUUAAACUAAAAAAGACAAUAUACAAGCUGUCACAAUGCACGGAGCAUUAUAUCACAAAGAUAAUUUCUUUACAUAAAAUGCUAGAGCCCCUUUGUAUAAACGUGCAAACAGCAGCAACAGCGUUAACUCAGCAACUUCAAUAUGCUUGCAAGAAGCUAAACUGCAGAACAGCAUUGCAGACCAAUCGCACGAUGGACAAGGCAAAUCACUGAAGCUUACUAAGUAUAAGUGAAAAGCUGGGUUACUUGGGACAGUCAUGGCUAACGUGCCAGGAAACAAGGUUGGCAAAGGCAUCACUGUCCGAUCUCUUUGUGCUUCCACCAUCCUUGGCUCCCGACACGCUGGUCACAAACACACAGUUCUGAUCAAGGUGCAGACAUCUCUUAUCUUUCUACAGUAAGCUCCCCGGCGCAUGAAACCACACUUUAUUGUCACGAGCAACAGUGCGAGACGUAAAUAAUAGGAGGGAAAAGAAGAAAAAAAGACAGUGGGAACAAGCAUGGGG
rnacentral:lncRNA from 1 species